AUUGAACGCUGGCGGCAGGCCUAACACAUGCAAGUCGAGCGGAGUGGCGGACGGGUGCGUAAUUCCUAGGCAUCUGCCUGGUAGCGGGGGAUAACGUCCGGAAACGGUCGCUAAUACCGCAUCCUAGCAGAUGCGCCUAGGUCGGAGUAGCUAGGUGGUGGGGUAAAGGCCUACCAAGGCGACGAUCCGUAACUGGUCUGAGAGGAUGAUCAGGCACACUGGAACUGAGACACGGUCCAGACUCCUACGGGAGGCAGCAGUGGGGAAUAUUGGACAAUGGGCGAAAGCCUGAUCCAGCCAUGCCGCGUGUGUGAAGAAGGUCUUCGGAGUGUAAAGCACUUUAAGUUGGGAGGCGUUACCAACAGAAUAAGCACCGGCUAACUUCGUGCCAGCAGCCGCGGUAAUAC
rnacentral:rRNA from 1 species